GUCAAGCAACUAAGCGUACGUGGUGGAUGCCUUGGCAGCUAGAGGCGAUGAAGGACGUUGUAGACUGCGAUAAGCCCCGGGGAGCCGUCAAACAGGCUUUGAUCCGAGGAUUUCCGAAUGGGGAAACCCAACCAGCUUGCUGGUUAUCUCAUACUGAAUACAUAGGUAUGAGAAGCGAACGCGGAGAACUGAAACAUCUAAGUACCCGUAGGAAAAGAAAUCAACCGAGAUUCCCCAAGUAGCGGCGAGCGAAAGGGGAUUAGCCCUUAAGUUACAGUAGGUUUAGCAGAACGCUCUGGAAAGUGCGGCGAUAGAGGGUGAUAGCCCCGUAUGCGAAAGGCCUAUUGUAGUGAAAUCGAGUAGGUCGGGACACGUGAAAUCCUGACUGAAUAUGGGGGGACCAUCCUCCAAGGCUAAAUACUCCUAGCUGACCGAUAGUGAACUAGUACCGUGAGGGAAAGGCGAAAAGAACCCCGGUGAGGGGAGUGAAAUAGAUCCUGAAACCGCGUACGUACAAGCAGUCGGAGCCCUUCGGGGUGACGGCGUACCUUUUGUAUAAUGGGUCAGCGAGUUAUUGUCUGUAGCAAGGUUAACCGUCUAGGGGAGCCGUAGGGAAACCGAGUCUUAAUAGGGCGCUUAGUUGCAGGUAAUAGACCCGAAACCGGACGAUCUAGCCAUGGCCAGGUUGAAGGUGCCGUAACAGGCACUGGAGGACCGAACCCACCUAUGUUGAAAAAUGGGGGGAUGAGCUGUGGCUCGGAGUGAAAGGCUAAUCAAGUCCGGAGAUAGCUGGUUCUCCUCGAAAUCUAUUUAGGUAGAGCCUCGUGAAUAACUGCUGGGGGUAAAGCACUGUUUCGGCUAGGGGGUCAUCCCGACUUACCAAACCGAUGCAAACUCUGAAUACCAGUAAGUUCAAUCACGGGAGACAGACAGCGGGUGCUAACGUCCGUUGUCAAGAGGGCAACAACCCAGACCACCAGCUAAGGUCCCUAAUAUCAGUUCAGUGGGAAACGAUGUGGGAAGGCUUAGACAGCUAGGAGGUUGGCUUAGAAGCAGCCACCCUUUAAAGAAAGCGUAAUAGCUCACUAGUCGAGUCGGCCUGCGCGGAAGAUAUACCGGGGCUAAACUGAUAACCGAAGCUGUGGGAGCACACUUGUGUGCUCGGUAGAGGAGCGUUCUGUAAGCGGUUGAAGGUGUGUUGUAAAGCAUGCUGGACGUAUCAGAAGUGCGAAUGCUGACAUGAGUAACGAUAAGAGGGGUGAAAAACCCCUCCGCCGAAAGAUCAAGGUUUCCUGUCCAACGUUAAUCGGGACAGGGUGAGUCGGCCCCUAAGGCGAGGGCGAAAGCCGUAGUCGAUGGGAAAUCGGUUAAAAUUCCGAUACCGAUUUUUACUGCGAUGGAGUGACGGAGAAGGCUAGGCUAGCACGGCGAUGGUUGUCCGUGUUCAAGCGUGUAGGUAGGGGGAUUAGGUAAAUCCGGUCCCUCGUUAAUCUGAGACGUGAUAACGAUCUCCUGGGGAAACCCUCGAGAGAAGUAGUCGAUGCCAUACUUCCAGGAAAAACUUCUAAGCUUCAGGUAAAAAUCGACCGUACUGUAAACCGACACAGGUGAUCAGGUAGAGAAUACCAAGGCGCUUGAGAGAACUUGGGUGAAGGAACUAGGCAAAAUGGUACCGUAACUUCGGGAGAAGGUACGCUCCCUUUGGUGAAGCACUUGCUGCGUAAGCUGAGGGGAGUCGAAGUGACCAGGUGGCUGCAACUGUUUAUUAAAAACAUAGCACUCUGCAAACUCGCGAGAGGAAGUAUAGGGUGUGACGCCUGCCCGGUGCCGGAAGGUUAAAUGAUGGGGUUAGCUUCGGCGAAGCUCUUGAUUGAAGCCCCGGUAAACGGCGGCCGUAACUAUAACGGUCCUAAGGUAGCGAAAUUCCUUGUCGGGUAAGUUCCGACC
rnacentral:rRNA from 12 species